AACGAACGCUGGCGGCGUGGAUAAGACAUGCAAGUCGAACGGGAUUUUUUUCUGUAGCAAUACAGAAGAAAGUCUAGUGGCGAACGGGUGCGUAACACGUGAGCAACCUGCCGUGAAGUGGGGGAUAGCUCGCCGAAAGGCGAAUUAAUACCGCAUGUGGCCAAGGAAGACAUCUUCCUGACGCCAAAGCCGGGGCAACCUGGCGCUUCUCGAGGGGCUCGCGGCCUAUCAGCUUGUUGGUGGGGUAACGGCUCACCAAGGCUAUGACGGGUAGCUGGUCUGAGAGGACGACCAGCCACACUGGAACUGAGACACGGUCCAGCCACCUACGGGUGGCAGCAGUCGAGAAUUUUUCACAAUGGGGGAAACCCUGGUGGAGCGACGCCGCGUGGAGGAUGAAGGUUUUCGGAUUGUAAACUCCUGUCAUUAGAGAACAAGGCACACGGUUUAACUGGCCGUGUGUUGAUAGUAUCUGAAGAGGAAGAGACGGCUAACUCUGUGCCAGCAGCCGCAGUAA
rnacentral:rRNA from 1 species